rnacentral:rRNA from 1 species
UACAGAGGGUGCGAGCGUUAACCGGAAUUACUGGGCGUAAAGCGUGCGUAGACGGUUAUUUAAGUCGGGUGUGAAAGCCCCGGGCUCAACCUGGGAAUUGCAUUCGAGACUGAAUAGCUAGGGUACGGUAGAGGGAAGUGGAAUUUCCGGUGUAGCGGUGAAAUGCGUAGAUAUCGGAAGGAACAUCAGUGGCGAAAGCGACUUCCUGGACCAGUACCGACGUUCAGGCACGAAAGCGUGGGGAGCAAACAGG